rnacentral:rRNA from 1 species
GAGGGGGUGCUAGCGUUGUCCGGAAUUACUGGGGCGUAAAGAGUCCGUAGGCGUUUUGCUAAGUUGAUUGUUAAAUCCAUCGGGCUCAACCGAUGACCUGCAAUCAAAACUGGUAGAAUAGAGUUCGAGAGAGGAAAGUGGAAUUCCUGGUGUAGCGGUGACAUGCGUAGAUAUCAGGAGGAACACCAAUGGCGAAGGCAGCUUUCUGGCUCGAUACUGACGCUGAGGGACGAAAGCGUGGGGAGCGAACAGGAUUAGAUACCCUGGUAGUCCACGCCGUAAACGAUGAGUACUUGAUGUCGGAGGAUUCGACCCCUUCGGUGUCGUAGCUAACGCGAUAAGUACUCCGCCUGGGGACUACGACCGCAAAGGUUGA